UUCAGGCAUUUAAGUUUAAUAAGUUUAAAGUUUAUGCUUUUAAUUUGGUAUACUUUCAGUUUCAUGCAGACUCUUAUUUUGACGUUUGUUUACUGAGCAAAACCGGAAGUAAAAAAAACCGCAUGAAAGAACGCAAUAGAAACGGUAGACUGGAUAAAAAAUGAAAACAGUCAUUUCUUCAGAGAAGAUUCAUCCUGCAUGUUGAUUCCCCAGCAGAAGCAUCGCUUUUUCACUCUCUCGUUUUUCAUCAGUCAUCUCAUAUGUAUGGAUUCAGUUCAAUGUGAAGAAAAUAAAUCUACAUAAAAAGAA